AUUCGAAAUAUGCGAAAUAAAAUUAUGCAUGCUGAUGACACAACUCUAUCUGAUGCUGACUUCCAAACCAUGAUCAGUGAUGUCGAAAAGGCAUUUAAAUCCCUCAGUCUUCCAGUUCGUGAUAUUACGCAAAUGAAAAUUAAGAGAAACCUUUACAAAUCAUUUCAUGUUUUACCCCCAAAGCCAAGCGAGGAAGUUGUUUACCGUUCUGAGAAGAUCAAGGAAAUACAACAAGAACUGCAGAGGUUGCGCAUUGAUAGCGACGGCAAACUUACAUAUUUCUACAUUUCCGGAAAUCCCGGAAGUAGAAAAUCGCAGCUAUCCCGGCAACUUGGCGAGGAUUUGCUUAAAAGCGCGAAUUGGGAAGCAGAAGCAACAUUUGUAAUGACAUUGAAAGCAAAAGAUUUAGACGCUCUUCAGCACUCGUAUGAAGAUUUUUGCCGACGUCUAAAUUGUUCUGAGAGUUCAUUGAUAACUGUAAUGAAUUCAUGCAAUCCAAAAGUUGAAAAGAUCAAAGAUUUAAGAUCACUGAUUGAAAGCAGAAUCAAGAAUUGGAAAAGGUGGUGGAUUAUAGUAAAUAAUGUGGAAAUUCUCGAGGAUAUUUCACCCUUACUACCUCAAAUGGGCGACGAAGUUUGGAAUAAUGGUCAAAUUAUAUUAACAAUUCAGAAUACAAA